rnacentral:rRNA from 1 species
AUUGAACGCUGGCGGCAGGCCUAACACAUGCAAGUCGAGCGGAUGAAGGGAGCUUGCUCCUGGAUUCAGCGGCGGACGGGUGAGUAAUGCCUAGGAAUCUGCCUGGUAGUGGGGGAUAACGUCCGGAAACGGGCGCUAAUACCGCAUACGUCCUGAGGGAGAAAGUGGGGGAUCUUCGGACCUCACGCUAUCAGAUGAGCCUAGGUCGGAUUAGCUAGUUGGUGGGGUAAAGGCCUACCAAGGCGACGAUCCGUAACUGGUCUGAGAGGAUGAUCAGUCACACUGGAACUGAGACGCGGUCCAGACUCCUACGGGAGGGAGCAGUGGGGAAUAUUGGACAAAGGGCGAAAGCCUGAUCCAGCCAUGCCGCGUGUGUGAAGAAGGUCUUCGGAUUGUAAAGCACUUUAAGUUGGGAGGAAGGGCAGUAAGUUAAUACCUUGCUGUUUUGACGUUACCAACAGAAUAAGCACCGGCUAACUUCGUG